AUGGUGAAAACAAAGUCAAAUAAAAAGGCCGCUCAUGCAACGCCGUCUGAUGAUAAGACGCUCCAGGCCGUUCAGGCAACUCAGGCAACUCCGUCUGAUGAUAAGACGCUCCAGGCCGUUCAAGCAGCAACUCAGGCAACUCCGUCUGAUGAUAAGACGCUCCAGGUUGUUCAAGCAACUCCGUCUGAUAAUAAGACGCUCGAGGAGAUUAUGCGGACACGUCCAUGGGAGGGAAACCAACCUGCAGUCACUUGUCGAGCUAUUUUGAGAGGUCUCAUCAAAAGAGUUGCCCAAUUAGAGGAAGCAGGGAUAAGUUGUGGAGUAUUGGAUGCAUCACAAAUUAUUUACAAAGGUUCAAAAGUGACAAUACGGAAUGAGCCUACACGGAAUGAGCCUAGGCAGGGACGCUUUAGAGAGCAGAUCAAAAUUUGGGUAUCAAAAAUUUUUCAGGCCCCAGCAGCACUGCAUAAUAAGAUAGAGUAUAGGGACUUCCUCAAAGAGAUACACAAUGCAGGAGAUAAUUUUAAGCAAUUGGAGAGUCACCCUUUCUUGCUAUCAAAUGAAGGAAAGGCGAACUUUUUGUUGGAAAAGAUAGUCAAAUUGAACAUCGAACAUAAAGGUUGGAAAUUGAAUUACAGAAAAAACCCCGUAAAAAUCUACGACAAAAUUGGUCAAUUGAAGGGUUACUCAGAUGUUUUUCAUUCUCCGGAUUAUUAUUAUGAAGAGAACGCGCUAGGGGCACUCUUGUACUCAAGAAACGUGGUUGCCCAUAUUGGAGAGUAUUUUGGACGGAACGAAAAGCCUUGUAGAGUAAAGAGGAAGUCGGCAAGAGGCUCAGUGUGUUCUUCCCCAAAAUGAUGCUAGAUUUCUACAAGUUUGUGGUUAAUAAAGGAACUGACACUAGAUCUGAACCUAAAAGUGUUAACUUGGUCGACUAAAUGACCAACUAGACUCCUCAGUGAGAAAGGUUGACUGUCAAAGUGAUAUAAGAAGACAGCCAUGGAAAAUGGAAUGGUUGGUAGAGAAAGUUAAAGAGGAAUAAGAAGGAAGACGGUGGGCCCUGUGAAACCCCAGAUCCCAUAUUUUAAGAGUUAAGUAUAACAUAUUUAUCAUGUUUUAAAAAUAAUGUUAUUUUUAAAUCGACGCUACUAUAAAAUAUAAAGUAAACAUGAUACAAUGUUUAUGAGGUUUGACAAGGAUGUUUAUGUUCUCAGGACAGCCGUAGUUUCUUUUUAUUAUUUGAAACAAUAUGAGUGUAAAAUUAAUUAU